rnacentral:rRNA from 1 species
CGCGGUAUUUUGACCGUGCGAAGGUAGCAUAAUCAUUAGUCUUUUAAUUGGAGGCUUGUAUGAAGGGUCGGACGAGAAAUUAGCUGUCUUUACAGGAAAGAUAAAAUUUAACUUUUAAGUGAGAGGGCUUAAAUAUUCUAAAGGGACGAUAAGACCCUAUAAAGUUUGACAUUUUAUUUUUUGAUGAAUGAAUUAGGACAGUUAAAGUUUAUUAAAGAGUUAGAUGUUUUGUUGGGGCGACAAGAAUAUAAAUAAUUUAACUGUUUUUAUGUAGUUACAAAGAUAAUUGAAUUUGUGGUCCUUAUUAAAGAGUGAAGAAUAAAUUACUUUAGGGAUAACAGCGUAAUUUUUUUUGAGAGUUCAUAUCGACAAAAAAGUUUGCGACCUCGAUGUUGAAUUAAAGGUUCUUUAUAGUGUAGCAGUUAUAGAAGAGGGUCUGUUCGACCUUUAA